ACGGUCCUAAGGUAGCGAAAUUCCUUGUCGGGUAAGUUCCGACCUGCACGAAUGGCAUAAUGAUGGCCAGGCUGUCUCCACCCGAGACUCAGUGAAAUUGAAAUCGCCGUGAAGAUGCGGUGUACCCGCGGCUAGACGGAAAGACCCCGUGAACCUUUACUAUAGCUUGACACUGAACAUUGAAUUUUGAUGUGUAGGAUAGGUGGGAGACUUUGAAGUAGUCACGCCAGUGAUUAUGGAGUCGUCCUUGAAAUACCACCCUUUAACGUUUGAUGUUCUAACGAAGAUUACGAAACGUGGUCUCGGACAGUGUCUGGUGGGUAGUUUGACUGGGGCGGUCUCCUCCCAAAGAGUAACGGAGGAGCACGAAGGUUUGCUAAUGACGGUCGGACAUCGUCAGGUUAGUGCAAUGGUAUAAGCAAGCUUAACUGCGAGACAGACAAGUCGAGCAGGUACGAAAGUAGGUCAUAGUGAUCCGGUGGUUCUGAAUGGAAGGGCCAUCGCUCAACGGAUAAAAGGUACUCCGGGGAUAACAGGCUGAUACCGCCCAAGAGUUCAUAUCGACGGCGGUGUUUGGCACCUCGAUGUCGGCUCAUCUCAUCCUGGGGCUGUAGUCGGUCCCAAGGGUAUGGCUGUUCGCCAUUUAAAGAGGUACGUGAGCUGGGUUUAAAACGUCGUGAGACAGUUUGGUCCCUAUCUGCCGUGGGCGUUGGAAGAUUGACGGGGGCUGCUCCUAGUACGAGAGGACCGGAGUGGACGCACCUCUGGUGUACCGGUUGUCACGCCAGUGGCAUUGCCGGGUAGCUAAGUGCGGAAGAGAUAAGUGCUGAAAGCAUCUAAGCACGAAACUUGCCUUGAGAUGAGUUCUCCCAGAUUAUAAAUCUGUAAGGGUUGUUUAAGACUAAGACGUAGAUAGGUCUGGUGUGUAAGCGGUGCGAGCCGUUGAGCUAACAGAUACUAAUUGCCCGAGAGGCUUAACUAU
rnacentral:rRNA from 1 species